GUAGGUGGAUAACUUGGCAAAUCCGGUUAUCCAGGACACUGAGGCACGAUGACGAGGCAUUACGGUGCUGAAGUUGCUGAUGCCCCGCUUCCAGGAAAAGCCCCUAAGCGUCAGAUUAUGGUCAAUCGUACCCCAAACCGACACAGGUGGUCAGGUAGAGAAUACUCAGGCGCUUGAGAGAACUCGGGUGAAGGAACUAGGCAAAAUGGUGCCGUAACUUCGGGAGAAGGCACGCUGGCGUCAGGUGAAGAAACACGCUUUCGGAGCCGAGGCCAGUCGCAGAUACCAGCUGGCUGCAACUGUUUAAUAAAAACACAGCACUGUGCAAACACGAAAGUGGACGUAUACGGUGUGACGCCUGCCCGGUGCUGGAAGGUUAAUUGAUGGGGUUAGCCGCAAGGCGACGCUCUUGAUCGAAGCCCCAGUAAACGGCGGCCGUAACUAUAACGGUCCUAAGGUAGCGAAAUUCCUUGUCGGGUAAGUUCCGACCUGCACGAAUGGCGUAAUGAUGGCCAGGCUGUCUCCACCCGAGACUCAGUGAAAUUGAACUCGCUGUGAAGAUGCAGUGUACCCGCGGCAAGACGGAAAGACCCCGUGAACCUUUACUAUAGCUUGACACUGAACCUUGAGCCUUGAUGUGUAGGAUAGGUGGGAGGCUGUGAAAUGUGGACGCCAGUCUGCAUGGAGCCAUCCUUGAAAUACCACCCUUGAAUGUUUGAUGUUCUAACGUCGGCCCGUUAUCCGGGUUGCGGACAGUGUCUGGUGGGUAGUUUGACUGGGGCGGUCUCCUCCCAAAGCGUAACGGAGGAGCACGAAGGUUAGCUAAUCACGGUCGGACAUCGUGAGGUUAGUGCAAUGGCAUAAGCUAGCUUGACUGCGAGAGUGACGGCUCGAGCAGGUGCGAAAGCAGGUCAUAGUGAUCCGGUGGUUCUGUAUGGAAGGGCCAUCGCUCAACGGAUAAAAGGUACUCCGGGGAUAACAGGCUGAUACCGCCCAAGAGUUCAUAUCGACGGCGGUGUUUGGCACCUCGAUGUCGGCUCAUCACAUCCUGGGGCUGAAGUAGGUCCCAAGGGUAUGGCUGUUCGCCAUUUAAAGUGGUACGCGAGCUGGGUUUAGAACGUCGUGAGACAGUUCGGUCCCUAUCUGCCGUGGGCGUUGGAAGAUUGCAAGGGGCUGCUCCUAGUACGAGAGGACCGGAGUGGACGCACCACUGGUGUUCGGGUUGUCAUGCCAAUGGCACUGCCCGGUAGCUAAGUGCGGAAGAGAUAACCGCUGAAAGCAUCUAAGCGGGAAACUUGCCUUAAGAUGAGUCUUCCCUUGUCCCUAGAGGACACUGAAGGAACGUUCGAGACGAGGACGUAGAUAGGCCGGGUGUGUAAGCGUUGCGAGACGUUGAGCUAACCGGUACUAAUGACCCGUGCGGCUUAACCU
rnacentral:rRNA from 1 species